UCAAGUUAUUAAGGGUGCAGGGCGGAUGCCUUGGCACUAGGAGCCGAUGAAGGACGUGAUAAGCUGCGAUAAGCUUCGGGGAGUUGCACGUAAACUUUGAUCCGAAGAUUUCCGAAUGAGGAAACUCACUUAGAGUAAUGUCUAAGUAUCAUUAAGUGAAUACAUAGCUUAAUGAGGGGAACUCAGGGAACUGAAACAUCUAAGUACCUGAAGGAAGAGAAAGAAAUUCGAUUCCGUAAGUAGCGGCGAGCGAACGCGGAUUAGCCCAAACCAAUAAAGUUUUCUUUAUUGGGGUUGCGGACAUAUCAUAACGAAGAGGUAUCGUAAUUGAAGAGGUUUGGAAAGACCCACCACAGAAGGUAAUAGUCCUGUAUGUUAAACGAGAAGACUUCAGAUAUGAUCCAGAGUACCACGGGACACGUGAAACCCUGUGGGAAGCAGGAGGGACCACCCUCCAAGGCUAAAUACUACCUAGUGACCGAUAGCGUAUAGUACCGUGAGGGAAAGGUGAAAAGAACCCCGGGAGGGGAGUGAAAUAGAACCUGAAACCCUGCACUUACAAGCUGUGGAAGCACAUUUCUUGUGUGACCGCGUACUUUUUGUAGAACGGGCCAACGAGUUACGUUAAGUAGCAAGGUUAAGCACUUAAGGUGCGGAGCCGUAGCGAAAGCGAGUUUUAACUGAGCGUUCAGUUACUUGACGUAGACCCGAAACCGGGCGAUCUACCCAUGAGCAGGAUGAAGCGAAAGUAAAAUUUCGUGGAGGUCCGAACCCACGAGCGUUGAAAAGCUCGGGGAUGACUUGUGGGUAGCGGUGAAAUUCCAAUCGAGCCCGGAGAUAGCUGGUUCUCCCCGAAAUAGCUUUAGGGCUAGCCUCAAGGUGAGAGAUACGGAGGUAGAGCACUGAAUGUCCUAGGGGGUAUUGCACCUACCGAAGACUAUCAAACUCCGAAUGCCGUCAUCUUAUACUUGGGAGUCAGACUGUGGGUGAUAAGAUUCAUAGUCGAAAGGGCAACAGCCCAGAUCGUCAGCUAAGGUCCCUAAAUGUAAGUUAAGUGGUAAAGGAUGUGGGAUUGCACAGACAACCAGGAUGUUGGCUUAGAAGCAGCCACUCAUUCAAAGAGUGCGUAAUAGCUCACUGGUCGAGUGAUCCUGCGCCGAAGAUUUCCGGGGCUAAAACUUACUACCGAAGCUACGGCAUCAGUAAUGAUGGGUAGGGGAGCUUCCCAUAUGGGUUGAAGCAUGACCGUAAGGACAUGUGGACAGUAUGGGAGUGAGAAUGUUGGCAUGAGUAGCGAGAUGUGGGUGAGAAUCCCACAGGCCGUAAACCCAAGGUUUCCAGGGGAAGGUUCGUCCGCCCUGGGUUAGUCGGGACCUAAGCUGAGGCCGAAAGGCGUAGGUGAUGGACAACAGGUUGAUAUUCCUGUACUACCGAUAACCGUUUGAGAGAAGGGAUGACACAGUAGGAUAAGCUAAGCACACUGUUGGUUAUGUGUGCCCAAGCAUUGAGGCAGUCAAAGCAGGCAAAUCCGCUUUGAUAAUGCUGGGAUGUGAUGGGGAGCGAAAUUUAGUAGCGAAGUAGCUGAUUUCACACUGUCAAGAAAAGUCUCUAUCGAGGUUAAAGGUACCCGUACCGCAAACCGACACAGGUGGGUGAGGAGAGUAUCCUAAGGCCAGCGAGAGAACUGUUGUUAAGGAACUCGGCAAAAUGACCCCGUAACUUAGGGAUAAGGGGUGCCACCAUCCGGUGGCCGCAGAGAAUAGGCUCAAGCGACUGUUUACCAAAAACAUAGGUUUCUGCUAAGUCGCAAGACGAUGUAUAGGAGCUGACGCCUGCCCGGUGCUGGAAGGUUAAGGGGAUCUGUUAGAGCAAUCGAAGCAGUGAACUUAAGCCCCAGUAAACGGCGGCCGUAACUAUAACGGUCCUAAGGUAGCGAAAUUCCUUGUCGGGUAAGUUCCGACCCGCACGAAAGGCGUAACGAUUUGGGCACUGUCUCAACAACAGACUCGGUGAAAUUGUAAUUCCGGUGAAGAUGCCGGAUACCUGCGACAGGACGGAAAGACCCCAUGGAGCUUUACUGUAGCUUGACAUUGGGUCUUGGUACUACAUGUACAGGAUAGGUGGGAGGCUUUGAAACCAGGACGCCAGUUUUGGCGGAGCCAUCCUUGGGAUACCACCCUUGUAGUACUGGGACUCUAACCAUAGGCCAUGAAUCUGGUCUUGGGACACUGUCAGGUGGGCAGUUUGACUGGGGCGGUCGCCUCCCAAAAGGUAACGGAGGCGCUCAAAGGUUCUCUCAGUACGGUCGGAAAUCGUACGUAGAGUGUAAAGGCAAAAGAGAGCUUGAUUGCAAGACAUACAGGUCGAGCAAGGAUGAAAAUCGGACUUAGUGAUCCGGUGGUUCUGCGUGGAAGGGCCAUCGCUCAACGGAUAAAAGCUACCCUGGGGAUAACAGGCUUAUCUCCCCCAAGAGUCCACAUCGACGGGGAGGUUUGGCACCUCGAUGUCGGCUCAUCACAUCCUGGGGCUGUAGUAGGUCCCAAGGGUUGGGCUGUUCGCCCAUUAAAGUGGUACGCGAGCUGGGUUCAGAACGUCGUGAGACAGUUCGGUCCCUAUCCGUCGCAGGCGUAGGAAAUUUGAGAAGACCUGUCCUUAGUACGAGAGGACCGGGAUGGACGUACCUCUGGUGUACCAGUUGUUCUGCCAAGGGCAUGGCUGGGUAGCUAUGUACGGAAUGGAUAAGCGCUGAAAGCAUCUAAGCGCGAAGCCAACUUCAAGAUAAGAUUUCCCACCGCAAGGGUAAGACCCCAGAAAGACUAUCUGGUUGAUAGGUCGAAGGUGUAAGUGCAGCAAUGUAUUUAGCUUAUCGAUACUAAUAGGUCGAGGACUUGACCAA
rnacentral:rRNA from 1 species